GCCUUCGUGGUGUAACGGUAUCACACUCGGCCCGUAUUCGAGAGGUUCAGGUUCGAGUCCCGACGAGAGCA
rfam:Stegodyphus mimosarum contig29356, whole genome shotgun sequence.